UUUGGCAACGUUUUCCCUCCCUCCUUUUUCCCCCUCUCAAUUGUCAAUUAAUGUCGUCUGUAAACCACGUUGAAUUCUGGGCUUUCACUCUCUCUCUCUCGUGUUUAACUGAUUUGUUCGUGAUUGCCCAAAGUCAAUUUACUGGGUUUAAGGACCCGUGUGUGUGUGUGUGUCGUUCUUCUUAUUCUAAGAGACGUCACUCGAGUUGAAUCUAGUGUGUGACGAUAUAUCCGACAUUUGUGUGUCACAGGACACUAAUUGGCCUAUACACCUCUGGGUGUUGACCCUGUGUACGAGUGAUUCUCACCUUGUGUGUAGCCUGUCUUCACAGGAACCACCACUUCCUUAUCACAAAGUACACCGUGUCCAUUUAUGUGAACACCAGUCAAGUCGAACACAAUACAAGAGAUUUUGCUCUUACGAGCCAACUCAGGUUUUCAUUAAGUGGAAACAU